rnacentral:rRNA from 1 species
GGCUCAGGAUGAACGCGUAGCGGCAGGCUAACACAUGCAAGUCGAGGGGCAGCAUAUAGAUAGCUUGCUAUUUAUGAUGGCGACCGGCGCACGGGUGAGUAACGCGUAUCCAACCUUCCUGCCAGUAGGGAACAGCCCGGCGAAAGUCGGAUUAAUGCCCUAUGUUCUUCAAUGCGGACAUCUAAGUUGAAGGAAAGAUUCAUCGCUGGCAGAUGGGGAUGCGUCCGAUUAGCUUGCCGGCGGGGUAACGGCCCACCGGGGCGACGAUCGGUAGGGGUUCUGAGAGGAAGGUCCCCCACACUGGUACUGAGACACGGACCAGACUCCUACGGGAGGCAGCAGUGAGGAAUAUUGGUCAAUGGGCGUAAGCCUGAACCAGCCAAGUAGCGUGCAGGAAUGACGGCCCUACGGGUUGUAAACUGCUUUUUAUGCGGGGAUAAAGUGCGGCACGUGUGCCGCCUUGCAGGUACCGCAUGAAUAAGGACCGGCUAAUUCCGUGCCAGCCGCAGC